UGUCUAGAAAAACAAAACAAACAAACAAAAGGAACAACACAGAGAUCAACAUGGCCCCUGUGCAAGGAUGACACACAAAUUCAUGAAGUGCUCCAUAUUUUU
rfam:Mesocricetus auratus contig030386, whole genome shotgun sequence.